CCAAAUCAGUGAUUCAGCUGCUCCAGCUCCUGAAAGACCAAGUUCAAAAGAGCAAGGUUUUGAUUUCAAAGGAACCUCCACAUCUAUGUAAGCUAUUUUAGAUAUCACUGCAGUAACACAGUUUGUUGACAAACUUCUCAGCGAGGGUUAAAAAGACGACCAUGUGAUCAUGAAAUAAAGUCAUGUUAAGGAAUUGUCAUGCUGCUCCAGAGAGUCCAGAUCUCUAGUUUUUUUUUUCUGUUAACCCUGGUCCACCACCUCUUGUCACCUUCAGCCUCCAUGAAAGUUUAGUUUCAUCUUUAAAGUGUUUAGAGCUUUGAACCCUGUUACAAUGAUCUGUUCUCUAAUUGGGUACAAAUCCAGUGUAAUUCAAGGACAAAGCCUUUUCUCCUGGUAUGUUUGAAUAACUUUUAAAUGUGCGACACUGCAGAUUUUAGAUCCAGUGUAAGAUUUCAAACCAUCUUUGUGUUUGCUCUUGAUAUUUAACCCCUCACUGAAGAAGAAUCACCAUAACAGUGUAUCUCUUAUUACAGGGAUGACAAGACUUUCCUCAAGCUGUGGCCUUAUAUAAAAUCUGAAGAGGAAUCGCACUACUCCUCAGCCUACAGGUGGGUGAAAUGUUUUUACAAUAGAAUUUUUUUCCCAGACUCUUUUUUGUAUUUUUUGAUUUCAUGGAUCACAAAUCACAGGUGCAGGUUUUGAUAAUUCCUUGGAUUAGCCCCAAGUGUCAAUCAUAGAGAACAUAAGCCCUGUGUAACAUGGUUGAAUCCUGGAAUGCCCGCCUCCUGGCUGCUGGUGUUGAUGUAAUUGUGUCCUCGGAGAUAGCUGGUCAUUUUGCCACCACCAAGAAGAAAAUCUUCCUUUUUACAUUAAGAGGGGCAAAUGCUCUGAACUGGUUGAUGUUACAGAAUCCUGUAAUCCUGGUUUAGGUCUAUUGGUCUCAUCAGCUUCCACUGGAGUUUUAGCACCAUUGGGCAUCUCUUGUAUGCCCUGUAGGGCACACAAUUUGGACCUAGAGCUGAGGCAGAUUGUUGCUUUGUCUACCACCUGCCUGAUCUUAGCCCACUAAGUGGUGCGGUGUGAGACUGAGAUUCAGGCUCAGUGGGGUGAGGCACAUAUCCUGGCAAACCAAGUGAGAUGUUCUUCUCAUGGUCACCUAGCUGGUUCCUCAAGCUUCUGUACAGUGACUUCUAGCUUGACCCUUUUCUUCCCCUGUAGUAGGCUCUUGGCAAACUGAGCCGGUCCCAGAAAAACCUUGCUCUCUCUUUCCCUUUCUUUUUUUUUCUGUCUCUGGAUCCGCUCAGCCCUCUUUAAGGUUGAAAGCCUGUCUCUGGUCUGUACCGAGAUUUUUGUGUUUGCUCUUGAUUUUUAACCCCUCACUGAAGAAGAAGCACCAAAACAGUGUAUCUCUUAUUACAGGGACGACAAGACUGACCUCCGGCUGAGGCCUCCUGUAAAAUCUGAAGAGGAAUCGCACUACUCCUCAGCCUACAGGUGGGUGAAGUGUUUUCACAGUAUAAAUUCUCUUCAAGACAGUUUUGAAGUAGUUUUUGAACACUGUUAAUACAUGGAUCACAAAUCACAGAAGCAGAAUGCUUUGAUUAGCCCCCUCUCUGUAAAACCUGAUCUAAAACAUGGAUGUAUCUCUGCAGUCGGGUUUGUAUCAAGGCUAUCAGCUUUAGCAUUUUAAUAGUUUUGUAGCUAAAGUCAAAAUCUAAUGAAUGAACUCUUCACAGCAGUCUCCUCCCCCUGAGUCAUGCUGUCAGACCUCAUUGGUGCAGCAGUUCGACAUGUAUUUGAAUAUUAAAUGUAAAAGUCAAGAUCAUACAGUACAGCUAAUUGCAUUUAUUUAAAGGACCUGGUGAGAAUUGCUUCACAUAUGUAAUACAAAUGUAAACACUGUUUGAAAUGCAAAAUAACAGAGCUGUAGACAUGGAAUAAAAAUUAAGAUUAAGCACAAGCAAACAUUAAAACUCUGCUUUUAAUGACAAUCUGAAUUUGAUUUUUUUUCUGUAUUUAUUCCUUUGUCAGGCCCCACUCAAUGUCCUUUCCUCUGAAGACAGAAAACACAGAUACAACUGAUGGGGACAGAGACGUUAUUCUCAUCAGGCAGUUCGUAAAACGUGUUUACUUCAUCUGUAUAUUUUUGGAUUUUAAAGCUGUUUACGUCAUUAACUGUUAAAAUAAUUUUGUCAAAGUGUGACCCUUCUUUCUUCAAAUGAAAAGAUUUAAAUUUUUCUAACUUUACCUUUUAAACAAACACUUUUUUUUUCAAUUCAACAGAGUAUCAAUGGCAUCUGUUGCUUCAUUAGACCUACUUUUUUACAUAACAGUGUAUCUCUUAUUACAGGGACGACAAGACUGACCCCCGACUGAGGCCUUCUGUAAAAUCUGAAGAGGAAUCGCACUACUCCUCAGCCUACAGGUGAGUGAAAUGUUUUUACAGUAUAAAUUCUCUUUCAGACAGUCAGACCUCAUUGGUGCAGCAAUGCGACAUUUAUUUGAAUAUUAAAUCUAAAAGUCAAGAUCAUACAGUACAGCUGAUUGCAAUUAUUUAAAGGACCUGCUAAGAACUGCUUCACAUAUGUAAUACAAAUGUAAACACUGUUUGAAAUGCAAAAUAACAGACAUGGAAUAAAAAAAUAUGACCAAUCACAAUUAACCAUCAAAACUCUGAUAACUGCAAUUUAAUUAGUUUUUUUUAUAUUCAUUCCUUUGUCAGGCACCACCCAAUGUCCUUUCCUCUGAAGGUGGAGAGACAGGAAGGUUCUCAUCAUCAGACGGUUAGUAAAACAUGUUUACAUCAUCUGUAUAUUUUUGGACGCUGAAGCUGUUUACGUCAUUGACUGUUGAAAUAGUUUUUCUUCAAAUAAAAAAGCUUUAAACCUCUAACCUCUAAAUUCACCUGAGUAUCAACAACAUCUGAUGCUACAUGACACUCACUUUUUACAUAUUUUAAAAUGUCUGUUUUUACACUAAUAAAGUAAAACCGUUUGUCCCUUUUUUCUUAAUGCAGGGACGAUAAAGGGGUAAGGAAGGAGGGAAAAGCUGUGGUAGAUCACUGGGGUUUAAUUCUGCCCCUGGAAGUCACAUCUGUUUUAAGAAGGUUUUAAGAAUGUUUUUCCGUUUUUCCGUUUAAACCUGAGUAAAAUGUCAAUCUUUUAAUGGUUUCUGAGGAAGAAAAGUGUUGCUGUUUAGUCUCAUCAUUUCACUCACUGAUAUAUUCAUCUGCCAAACCUACCAUAGAAG
rnacentral:lncRNA from 1 species